rnacentral:rRNA from 1 species
CCUACGGGGGGCAGCAGUGGGGAAUAUUGCACAAUGGGGGAAACCCUGAUGCAGCGACGCCGCGUGAGUGAAGAAGUAUUUCGGUAUGUAAAGCUCUAUCAGCAGGGAAGAAAAUGACGGUACCUGAUUAAGAAGCCCCGGCUCACUACGUGCCAGCAGCCGCGGUAAUACGUAGGGGGCAAGCGUUAUCCGGAUUUACUGGGUGUAAAGGGAGCGUAGACGGCAGCACAAGUCUGGAGUGAAAUGCCGGGGCUUAACCCCGGAACUGCUUUGGAAACUGUGCAGCUGGAGUGCAGGAGAGGUAAGUGGAAUUCCCAGUGUAGCGGUGAAAUGAGUAGAUAUUAGGAGGAACACCAGUGGCGAAGGCGGCUUACUGGACUGUAACUGACGUUGAGGCUCGAAAGCGUGGGGAGCAAACAGGAUUAGAUACCCUUGUAGUC